CUGUAUUAGUACUUCGAUGCCUGUAGUAUCGAUACUUGAUAUGAUUUCGUGUAUUUUUACAACUUAGUUCCCGUAAAAACUUGUUCAACGUUUCCUUGCCAUUUGGCUGAAAUACACUGCAUUAUAAGCUAAGAUUUAGGUGGGAAACUUUUCAGAGACAUAAAGUAGCAUGCAAUAUCAGGAUAAAAUGGAAUCGGGGUUUUCAAAAAUGUCGCUGGGAUCUUAUCCAGUGGGUGGCAUUGACAUACUAGAUCUUCCAACUCUAUGUGAAAUGUAUAGAGACACAUAUAAAAUUAAAGGAAUGUUUCACACCGAAAACCUUAAAGUUUCUGCUAGUGAUGCGAUUUGGACACAAAGAGCAGUGUAUGAUUCCAAU